UACGUAGGGGUGCACGUUAAUCGGAAUUACUGGGCGUAAAGCGUGCGCAGGCGGUUAUGUAAGACAGAUGUGAAAUGCCCGGGCUUAACCUGGGAACUGCAUUUGUGACUGCAUGGCUAGAAUCUGGCAGAGGGGGGUAGAAUUCCACGUGUAGCAGUGAAAUGCGUAGAUAUGUGGAGGAACACCGAUGGCGGAAGGCAGCCCCCCUGGGUCAAGAUUGACGCUCAUGCACGAAAGCGUGGGGAGCAAACAGG
rnacentral:rRNA from 1 species